ACACUUUUUCCUCUCUCUAUCCUGUGUUCUUACUGUAACACUCUCAAUUUUUUUUUGUCUUCUGUCUUAUGUCUUCUCUCUCUUCUCUCUCCUGACAGUCUGAUGUACAUCCUCUCUUCUGUAUUAAUGUUUUUUCUUUCUCCUCUGCGUCAGGUAUUUCCCUUUUCUUUCUCCUCUGAAUUCAUCAAUCAUUGCCACGGGUUUUUCUCUCUCUUCCUCCCUUUCGUCAUUCUCGCUUCCCCUCGAAACCCUCCCCAAAAAGUUCUUCUCUUUCACCACUCCAACACCCACCAACCGUUCCCAUCCCAACAGCAACAUCAACCAUGUCUCGCUAUUGCGACCUUUGUGCCACCCCACUUGGGAUUCUGCUAUUACGAGGUGUUGUUCAUCACCUUCCUUGCCUAUGCCUGCUAUCACGCCUC
rnacentral:lncRNA from 1 species